rnacentral:tRNA from 1 species
GGACAGGUGGCUGAGUGGUCAAAAGCAGCAGACUGUAAAUCUGCCGACCCAUGCGGUCUACGGAGGUUCGAACCCUCCCCUGUCCACCA